UUCAACUAAAACAAAGGAUAAAAAGAUAAACAAAUUAACAAUGAUAAAAAUAAUAAUGAGCAUGUCCAUUCAUGUCUACAUUGAGAAAAUGACAAAAAAUACCUAAAAAUUUGAUAAAAAACAAAUAGGGCAUUUACUAAUCAUUCAGACCAAUAAUGGAGCAAAACAACCCUAAAUAUAAUGGUGUCAGGGCCUCAGGGGCUUUAAUAAGAAAAUAUUUUCAAGACCAAACAAGAUUAUCCUGCAUUUAUGAUGGUUUUCUGCAUGUUGACAGCCACCAUGACGUCCAAAAAGGAAACCAGCAGCAGCGGUAACUAUCAGUUAAGGUAACCUAAGGAAGAACUGCAAGGGAAGUGAAUCUGUAAUUUGGUUGUCUUCCAUGAUGCACCUCAUAAUACCUUGCAAGGGUUUCUUGUUUCUUACAUAAGUCAUGUUUAGAGAACUCUGAAGGUGGGCCAUCCUAAAGAGAGAAGAAGGGGGGGUACCAUUUCUUGAGCCUGUUUAAUUCUUUUGAAGAGACCUGCCAAAAUUCUGAGUUAUAGGCCACUGAGUAGGAUAGAAGAAGCUAAGACAGCAGGGUGCAUGAAAUUGGAUUCUAGAGGGCACUUUGGUUUUAGUUUAUGGCUUUGGCUUAUUAAACAGUGCUAAAAUUAGCAAGGGACUUUUCUUCUCUCUCCAAACUUUGUAUAAAUGUUUUCCAGCAUUUUUGGGCCAAAAUGGAUUGGUUUCAGCCGAGAUUAAUGCGCCAUAUUGGCCAAAACUGACUGAAACUACUUUCUUUAUUAAGCAUAUAGCUUAACAUUAUCAAAUGUUUCCUAAAAUUUGGCAAUAGUAUUCAAUAUAGCAUUUAUCUAAGGCUCUAAUAAUCUAAUCUACAUUGUUUUUGGCUAAGCUUUAUUAGGGCAAGAUGCAAUCAUGAUGCAGGUCUUCACUAUUUAGAAAUCAUUAUGUGUUCAUAUAAUUCUUCUUUUUUCUUACUCAAAUGAGUUUUUUCUCUUUUUCAGAAUAAAAUGAUAUUAAAAUGAACCAAUGAAAUAAAUGGGUUUUUAUUUAAAUAGCUUAUUUUUCUUGCUUACAUACGUGAAUGAAAUAGAAUGAAAUAUAAUUAGGUAGGCUUAGAAUAUGAUAUGCUCAGAUGGGACUUUUCUUGUUUAGAUGGGUUUCUAAAAUGAAAUAGAACAAAGUAUGCUUAGACAGAUUUUUCUUAAAUGAGUUAUCAAAACCAAAUAUAAUGAAAUAUGUUUAAAGAAAAUGUUUACUUAAAUGCAAAAAUUAGAGAAAAUAUGAAAAAUUACAAAAAUAGAGGAGGAAAAAUAAAAAGUAGAUGAAGGUGUGAUAUAUUUAAUGCACUAAGCUUUAAACAGUUUAGUUUCAACAUAAAGAUACCCAAAUUACACAAAGAACAAUCCUUGAUAACUGAAAACAUAAUAGAAUAAUGUGAAAUAACAUUUCUGAUUUUUUUCCUUAAUUUUGUUAGUUCUUGGAUCGUUUCUGACUUUUAUGACCAAAAAUUACAAAACUGGGAGUGAAUAGCCAAAACCACGGAAACUGUCAAAACUAAAAAUUCUACAAUGAGUCAAAACCCAUCUAAAUCCUUGAUCGAGAGUACUGCAUGCAAGAAUCAGUAAAAAAACAAACAUGGUAAUUUAUUGGACUUUCCUUCUCUCUUUUUUCAAAGAGAUAAGGAUGACAGUCCCAAAAGAUAAAAAUAUUGGCAAUCCACAUACACAUAUGCCAUGAGUGCAUGCAUACGUUGAAGGAGGGGUUUUGUGUGCCAACCCUUGCCCUCAACCAACCCCACCCCUCCACCCCCCAAGAAAAAACAAAAAAAAAAAAAAGAAGAAAGAAACAAGAUAAAAAGAAUAAAAAUCCCAACACCCACAGUGUGCCGAUGUGAAAUAAGCUAAGCGUUUAACCAUCCAGCCUUACCAACCCCGCACCGCCCCUCUAGUGUGUAUGCAUAUACAUAUACAUAUACAUAUAUAAAACAAUGUUCUCAAUAAAAUCUUCCCUCUAUAUCACUAUAACUAAUACUUUUUUAAAAAAAAAUCCCAUUCUCUAUCCAUGCCCACCUCUAUGACAAUGCUCUCAAUCAAAUCCCACCAACUAAAUUCUCAUUAAAAUUUAAAAAGAAGAAAAAAGAAAGAAUAUUCUAUAUUUCCAGGCUUUCCCACCAUAGUAACGAAGUUGACAGCCAAAUUUCACCUCCAUUAUCAUCCCUUGCCAAUAUAAACUCAUAAGUUGCAUAUCAACCAGAGCUCCCAACAUAUAGCAUGUGCAUCAAGUUCCCGCUUGGGGUAAUUUUGUUAACAGUUACAUGAACACUUAUCUAAAGCAUCUUAUAGUGGCAUGACCAAGACUUUGGUAACAUCUCUCAUCGACAUAAUUAAUUAAGUAUCAAAAUAUUAAGUCAACCUCCAAGGAGAAGCUACAUAACCCUGCAGUUGCAGGGGAGCAAUCCUGUCAAAUUUCUCAUAUCUCAAAAAUCUUCCAAACCAAUAAUCAUCAUGUGCUAGAGCCUCCAUCUCUAAGGCCAAAAGAUAGUAUAAGGAAAGCAGCAACCAAGAUAUUAACAAAGCAUUGUAUUACAAAUAUCUCAUCCUCAUUCAAUCGCUCUUCUGAACCACAAACCAACACAUGCUUAAGGCAUCUAGUAAAGGCCAGAUCAUUGAAACGAUAAAUAAAUAACCAAAGAACCAGCAGCUUAUAGAUGGUUAAAGACAAUCUUUAGGUUCAAAAGGAAUGUUAUAACUUCAGAAAAUUAUGGAAUAUCAAUCAAGAUAAAUUUAAACCUUUAAAAUCCACAAGAAACCAUCAAUGUCUGCAACGUUUGACAUUGUUGAAUCACACAUCAGUUGAUUGUUUGUAUAUAGUUGUCAAGGUCAAGGUCUUCGGACUAAAAUAAUGAGCAACCAAUAAAGAAAUGACAAGAAAAUCGCACCGAUUUAGCAAAACAAACAGUUCCAAACAACAACGAACAAAGUGCCCAACUUUUAAAAAAUAAUAAUAAUAAAAUACAAGAGGAGGAGGUUAAUGUUAAAAGUUCAAAUAGAACAAUACAUUCACUAAACCCCUGCGAAGCCAAAGCAUGAACUAGUAAUUGCCUAUGCACUACAGCUAACAGAAUGUACCUAAAACAUAAAUUUCUUUGACUAUAAACCUUCGACCUCACAUCCCGAUACAAUUGCAACUGGGUGACAAUAAACACAUAUUGGCACGCGAUAGGUCAUUUAAAUGAUAGUAACAAAUAAUACCAUCCCAUGAGCCUUGGGUA